AUGGUUACCGACUUCUUUGCUUUGGAGCUACAUCUGAGAACAACAGGUCAUGUUUUUGGAGAAUUUGUGCUGCAUCUUCUUGGAUUGAAUCGGAUCCGCAGUGUUAUACGAAGACUUAAGGUCGUUCGGGUCCGACAGAGAUCAUGGGGGGAAGAAGCAUGCCCUGCAAAUUGUCCUUGUGAGACUACGAACUGGAGGACCCAAAUUAUCUCCUUGACUGCCCUUGAAGAUUUAGAAAUCGAUGGCUUCCAAGCAGAAGAUCAUGAGCUUGAUUUCUUGAAACUGAUAUUCCGUUCUGCACCAAUGCUUAAAACAGCGAUUGUGAAGCUGUCAGAUCAGAUCUAG
rnacentral:rRNA from 1 species